AGUUCUGUGGCUUUCAAAUACACAAGCAACAACCACUACACAAAAACCUAUGGCGCUUCUUGGGUUGGGAUUUUGAGAUUGAACCCUAAGCAAAGCGAACAGAAGACAACUUCCUCUCAACAAUCAUUUCCCUUUGUCAUCCUUUUCCUGGCUUCUGUUAAGGAAGGGGAAAUUGAAGUCAUCCAGCUGACAAUCACAGUUCCACAGAUACCUCAAUGGGCUGCUGCCUCUACCUGCAUAGUCUUCUUCUGGUACUGGAACCACUCUAUAUAAAUUGUUGAUGAAUAAGUAUCCUGCUUGUAGAAACUCAGGCACCAACUGGAAGACCCAGAGGCUGUGGGUCAACCCACCUGCAUCUGUGACAUCACAGCUCUAUAAACAAUGUUUGUAUGUUUUUAUUCAGAAAACAAAGAUAUUUCUAAUUUAAAAAAAUUUAAAAAAACUUAAAGAAUGCUGUCUUUUAAAAAAUAUUUAUUUAUUGGCAUGAGUUAAGAAUCACCCAAAUUUCUUUUACAUGCCUAUAAAAAUGAUAUAAUUUGUUUUCUUUAAGUUACUGAUUUACUGUGUAAUAUUUAUGAAUUGUUAAAUAUUGCAUUGGGGUUGGAUUCCCAAUUUGAUUUAUUACUUUCCUAUUAUAUUGCUUAAUUUAGAGUAGUUUAUUUAGAUUGUCAUAUCUACAGCUAACUACAAUCAAUUCACUUCUAAUUUUGUAAAAACUUCAGCAGCUCUAAGGAUUGAGUUAGCCAUUGCCUUGUAAUUAUAACGGGUAACUAUCUUUUUGAUCCUUGACUUGGAAUGAAUAGUUGACACUGAAAUUGCUAAAGAAUAAUGUGGAAAAUCCCUCUCACACUGUUCACCUUCAUUGCUGUGGAUAAUCUUUAACAACUUUAUUUUCUCAGUUGCUCUGUUCAGGUUUUUUACCUCUUACUAUGUUAAUUUUGAUGUUAGUUUUGCUGUUAUUCUAGUACUUGUUGGUCUGUUUUACAGAAUAUGAUCCCUUUCAUUGCUAUUUCUAAAUUUAUCACAAAACUGUGAGAGAAAUCCAUUAUAAUUUAAUCAUUUUAUCCAUUACGAUGUAUGAUAUACCCUUUGUAAUGGUGAUGUCUUAUUUUGAUUAAACUUAAUUAUAUAUUUUUUUAUUUUGACUUCAUAAAAACCAUAUUUUGGAUUAUUCAUUACUUUUACUAAUUUUUAGCCCUGUAUUUUUUUCUGAAUUUUGAAAUUUAUUUUGAAAUAAAUAAUUUCCUUUUCUCAAAUGUUCUUUGGAUUGAUAUUCUCAUUUUCUGAAAUCAUAGCUAAUUUGUAUUUCAGACAAUAAGGUUUUAAUGAGCAUUCUCCAUUGUGGAAUUUCGUAUAUUUGUUUAAAAAGUGUUCACUUCACCUGGGAAUCUGAAUUUGAUUAAGAGACGAGUGGAUAGAAAUAGUGUGGCUGAACCUGCCAUGCUCCUUAUAAUGCAGGAGAUUCCAGUGGACGACCCUGGCUGGCCAUUGCUGCAUGGUUACAAUGUGACCAGACAUGUGUGAUGAGUGGUUACUAAAUAGAACCCCAAGACAGUACAGCAAGAGGAUACCAGAAGUUACAUAGUCAGAAGCUACCAGAACUUCAUCCUAGCCCAGGGAGAUGGCUUAGCAAAAAAGUUGCAGGUGAUAGGAUCACUCACCCUGGCAUUCUUGCAUUCCGGCAGGACUUUGUCCUGGAAAGGCAGGACACCUGAAUAGCCACUACCUGAGUACCUCUCCUGUGAGGAAACCAGGGUGACCCGGGAAACCAUGGUUCUUUGCUUUCCGAUCCUGGUGCAUUUUGUUGUCCUUUGCUACAAUGGAUUUUUGAAUUGAUUACAGUAAAAUUUAACUAGUGGUGGUACAUUUAUGCCACAGAGUGAUCAUGUGCACCACGUUUUAAGCCUAGUUCUCUCAAGACAAUUUCAAAUGGGUUAUUCAGUGAAGAGUGUUAAAGUAUAAUUUUCAGAUACGCCAAAUCAUGACUCUCAGGCAAAUAUAAAAUGAGCACACGUCAAAGACUUUAAAAUUUAUUAACUAAUGAGGGAAACAGCAAGAUGUGGCUAGUUCUAAAAAAAUUUAAAAACUAGGAGUGUUUAUAGGCAAUUUAACAAGUGUUAAAAAUUGUUACUCUUAAAUAAACUGUUUACUGUCCAGUAGACUAUAAAUUUUAGGGAUAAUCUAUUCCUUUGGAUGAAAAUUAUUUGCAUCUCUUCUGGACAAAAAUACAUGUU
rnacentral:lncRNA from 1 species